GUAGGAGUGAAUUUUGAUUUUUUAUAUGUAAAUUUAAAAUUUAUUCUUACAG
rnacentral:pre_miRNA from 1 species